GAUGAACGCUGGCGGCGUGCUUAACACAUGCAAGUCGAACGGAAAGGCCCAAUCUUGCUUGGGUACUCGAGUGGCGAACGUGUGAGUAACACGUGUGUGACCUGCCCUGCACUUCGGGAUAAUCCUGGGAAACUGGGGCUAAUACCGGAUAGGACCACUUCGUGGACGGUGUGGUGGAAAGUUUUUUCGGUGUGGGAUGAGCUCGCGGCCUAUCAGCUUGUUGGUGUGGGCAUGGCGUACCAAGGCGUCGACGGGUAGCCGGCCUGCGAGGGUGUACGGCCACAUUGGGACUGAGAUCCGGGCCAGACUGCUGCGGGAGGCAGCAGUGGAGAAUAUUGCACAAGGGGCGGAAGCCUGAUGCGGCGAAGCCGCGUGGGGGAGGACGGCCCUCGGGUUGUAAGCUACUUUCGCUAGGGACGAAGCGUUUUGUGACGGUACCUGGAGAAGAAGCACCGGCUAACUACGUG
rnacentral:rRNA from 1 species